GACCCACCAUGGUCUCCAUGAAGCCACAGGCACAGGCUGUAAUAACUGUAAAACUGGUCAGAGACAUGCUCCAGGGUGUGGAGACCUGUGCUCCGGAUCCACGGCACCCCACGGCGAGGCAGCAACACACACACCAGGGGCCACUGCGUGCACAAUCCUCUCCCCCCGCCUCCCCCACCACUGGGCCUUCAUCUCUUUCUCUCAAGACUCUGGGCGCGCAGGUGACCAAGAGUGACCUGUUACCAUUACUACAGGAAUAACCUUGAAUCUCUUUGAUAAAAUAAACUUUGGAAGUUUAAUACCAGUGAGAUUACUUCCCUUAAAACACCCCAGGGUGGACUGUGACAAGCCAGCGUAUUGUGACACAGGACUGAGAACUGCUCUCGCAAAAUAUAAAUAAUCAGUACAGGUGCAGCCACCAGUGUGAACGCGGGAAUCCCGUCAACAAUGCUGGGGAUUACGUGUGACUCUGCCCCCAGACUCGGAUAAAGCAGCUUUCAGCAGGAAACAGACACUGUUGGACUGAACAAGUUUAAACGAGCCUACAGGAGGAGCAGCAGUAUCCUCUCUCCGGGGCUUUCUCAAAUCUGGACAAAAGACUAAAUGCUGAGAAUGCUGGAUUUGGCAAUCCUGUGUGGGAAUGGCGUCUGAAUUCCAAGCCCCGAGUCUGCCUUCGGUGUGGCCUCCAGUUAUUCUCUCUUCACUGCAACGUUUUCAAGGGCCCCCUGUGUACCAGGCCCCGUGGACCCCAAGCUGAGCAAAACCAAGUCUGUGCUCUUGCUCGGUCCCAGGGUCUCCAAGGUGGGAUGCAGACAUCCCCAGGGGAGCUGAAGAAACCCCAUCUACCACUGAGCCAAGAGAAGCAAAUAAAAGAACUUUGAUUCAUCAGCCUCAUCUUUUUGACGUGUAUCUGCGUCUGUAGUCUUCCGUGUGCAGGCUCUGGAAAUUAGGAAUCGGCGAACAAAAGUCCGGGACCAUGGGUCUAGCCCCUUGGUGUGUCACCGUGGCUCACUAAAGCUAUAAUGGGGCAGCAGGUCAGAAGUACUUGGAACAAGAUCCCAGGUGAUCCCAAAGCAGUGGGAGGGUGCACACCCACGGCCCCUGCCCGGCCUCAUCUUGGCUUUGGAGAUUCAGCAAAGUAGCUGCUUUCUCAAAACGCAAACCCACUGCCUGCCCUUGAAACGCCCUUUAGGUGGGGCAGUCCCGUAAUACAGGCUUUUGAGAAUGAAAUGAAGAGAGCUGAGAUGGAGUAAGGAUCAUGGGGAUGUCCGCUCGCUGCAGCUGCAGGUCACAGAGAGCACACCUGCUCCCCGCAGCGGGCACUCUAACCUGGAGGGCGCCAACCACGGGUUUCCCAAGCCUCGAACACUAAAUCCUGUUCGGGUGCCCAGCGGACACCGCGGCCCGGGACUACCCCCAGUGCGUCCUAAAGAUGCUCUGCAGGCAGGAGCGCGCUCUCAUCAACGUGUGGCUAUUUCUUCGUGGUUUUAGAACUGAGAGCCCUUGGGAUGUGAGGACAGGCAGCGAGGCUUCUGGAAACCAGCCCUUUUCAAGACGUCACCAAAGAGUCCUUAGAUUCCAGACCUGGUUGGACAUCGCGGGGGUCAGAGACCCUUUUCAAUAGUUCUGAAGACCCACAUUGACCCCACAUUUCCACACAUUUAGGUAAAUAUCAGAAAUAUUUGCCUAUUCAUGCCUAAUCCUUGCAAACCUGAUUUUCUCAUCCUGAUCUCUCCCAAGAGGAGAGUGACACUCAAGGGAACAGCUUCUGAAUGACGGAACCGCAUGUGGCUGCCAAGGCCUGAGUGCAUAAAGUGCUGGCCCGACCUAGACGGAGGGGGAAGCGUUACAGGAGCCAGGCACUGUAACCCGUGCAACAGUAAAGGAUUCCCAAUAAAACUUUGCACACGUGAGGAAGACCAUAGCACGAGACAGCCACGUCAAAGAACUACGUGCAAAAUGUGUGCGGCUCGCAAAAUAAGCGCACACAGAGGACCAGCCCUGGGCGAGGUCUUACCU